rnacentral:piRNA from 1 species
UCCAAAGUAGGGAGGAGCUCUGGAA